rnacentral:rRNA from 1 species
GGCCUAAUACAUGCAAGUCGUACGGGAUUCGGUCUUUCGGGACUGAUGAGAGUGGCGCACGGGUGCGUAACGCGUAUGCAACCUGCCCCCUACAGGGGGAUAGCCCGGGGAAACCCGGAUUAAUACCCCAUGUCGACGUGGCCCCGCAUGGGGCCUUGUCGAAGGCCUUCGGGCGGUAGGGGAUGGGCAUGCGUAGGAUUAGUUAGUUGGUGGGGCAACGGCCCACCAAGACUUCGAUCCUUAGGGGUUCUGAGAGGAAGGUCCCCCACACUGGCACUGAGAUACGGGCCAGACUCCUACGGGAGGCAGCAGUAGGGAAUAUUGGGCAAUGGGCGGAAGCCUGACCCAGCCAUGCCGCGUGCAGGAAGACGGCGUUAUGCGUUGUAAACUGCUUUUAUACGGGAAGAAAACGUCCCUGCGGGGGAGAUUGACGGUACCGUGUGAAUAAGCACCGGCUAACUCCGUGCCAGCAGCCGCGGUAAUACGGAGGGUGCAAGCGUUGUCCGGAUUUAUUGGGUUUAAAGGGUGCGUAGGCGGCCCGUUAAGUCAGCGGUGAAAGUUUCCGGCUCAACCGGGGGACUGCCGAUGAUACUGUCGGGCUUGAGUGUCGAUGGGGUACAUGGAAUUUAUGGUGUAGCGGUGAAAUGCAUAGAUACCAUAAGGAACACCGAUAGCGAAGGCAUUGUACUUAUCGACAACUGACGCUGAGGCACGAAAGCGUGGGUAGCGAACAG